GAACUACGACGUGCGGCGACUGCCUAACACAUGCAAGUCGAACGAGACCUUCGGGUCUAGUGGCGCACGGGUGCGUAACGCGUGGGAAUCUGCCCUUGGGUUCGGAAUAACUCGCCGAAAGGCGUGCUAAUACCGGAUGGUGUCGUAAGACCAAAGAUUUAUCGCCCAGGGAUGAGCCCGCGUAAGAUUAGGUAGUUGGUGAGGUAAAGGCUCACCAAGCCGACGAUCUUUAGCUGGUCUGAGAGGAUGAUCAGCCACACUGGGGCUGAGACACGGCCCAG
rnacentral:rRNA from 1 species